UGGGGAAUUUUGGACAAUGGGGGAAACCCUGAUCCAGCCAUCCCGCGUGUGCGAUGAAGGCCUUCGGGUUGUAAAGCACUUUUGGCAGGAAAGAAACGUCAUGGGUUAAUACCCCGUGAAACUGACGGUACCUGCAGAAUAAGCACCGGCUAACUACGUGCCAGCAGCCGCGGUAAUACGUAGGGUGCAAGCGUUAAUCGGAAUUACUGGGCGUAAAGCGUGCGCAGGCGGUUCGGAAAGAAAGAUGUGAAAUCCCAGAGCUCAACUUUGGAACUGCAUUUUUAACUACCGGGCUAGAGUGUGUCAGAGGGAGGUGGAAUUCCGCGUGUAGCAGUGAAAUGCGUAGAUAUGCGGAGGAACACCGAUGGCGAAGGCAGCCUCCUGGGAUAACACUUACGCUCAUGCACGAAAGCGUGGGGAGCACACAGG
rnacentral:rRNA from 1 species